GCCGGGCAUGGUGACACAUGCCUGUAAUCCCAGCUACUCGGGAGGCUGAGGCAGGAGACUUGCUUGAACCCAGGUGGCAGAGGUUGCAGUGAGCUGAGAUCGCACCACUGCACUCCAGCCUGGGCAACAGAGUGAGACUCUGCCUCAA
rnacentral:SRP_RNA from 1 species